GAUGAAGAACGUAGCGAAAUGCGAUAAGUAAUGUGAAUUGCAGAAUUCAGUGAAUCAUCGAAUCUUUGAACGCACAUUGCGCCCCCUGGUAUUCCGGGGGGCAUGCCUGUUCGAGCGUCAUUACAACCCUCAAGCUCUGCUUGGUAUUGGGCCCGGCCAGUUCUGGCGGGCCCUAAAGUCAGUGGCGGUGCCUUCCGGCUCCGAGCGUAGUAAUUCUUCUCGCUCUGGAGACCCGGUUGUGUGCUUGCCAACAACCCCCAAUUUUUUAAGGUUGACCUCGGAUCAGGUAGGGAUACCCGCUGAACUUAAGCAUAUCAAUAAGCGGAGGA
rnacentral:misc_RNA from 1 species